GUCCACACCGUAAACGAUGAAUGCCAGUCGUCGGGUAGUAUACUAUUCGGUGACACACCUAACGGAUUAAGCAUUCCGCCUGGGGAGUACGGCCGCAAGGUUAAAACUCAAAGAAAUUGACGGGGGCCCGCACAAGCGGUGGAGCAUGUGGUUUAAUUCGAAGCAACGCGCAGAACCUUACCAACCCUUGACAUCCUGUGCUACAUCCAGAGAUGGAUGGUUCCUUUCGGGGACGCAGUGACAGGUGCUGCAUGGCU
rnacentral:rRNA from 1 species